rnacentral:rRNA from 1 species
CCUACGGGUGGCAGCAGUGAGGAAUAUUGGUCAAUGGGCGAGAGCCUGAACCAGCCAAGUCGCGUGAAGGAUGACGUCCCUACGGGUUGUAAACUUCUUUUGUCAGGGAGCAAUUGGGUCCACGCGUGGGCUUAGCGAGAGUACCUGAAGAAAAAGCAUCGGCUAACUCCUUGCCAGCAGCCGCGGUAAUACGGAGGAUGCGAGCGUUAUCCGGAUUUACUGGGUGUAAAGGGAGCGUAGACGGCAGUGCAAGUCUGGAGUGAAAGGCGGGGGCUCAACCCCCGGACUGCUCUGGAAACUGUACGGCUGGAGUGCAGGAGAGGUAAGUGGAAUUCCUGGUGUAGCGGUGAAAUGCGUAGAUAUUAGGAGGAACACCAGUGGCGAAGGCAGCUUACUGGACUGUAACUGACGUUGAGGCUCGAAAGCGUGGGGAGCAAACAGGAUUAGAUACCCCGGUAGUC